UACGAAGGGGGCUAGCGUUGUUCGGAAUUACUGGGCGUAAAGCGCACGUAGGCGGAUUGUUUAGUUAGAGGUGAAAUCCCAGGGCUUAACCCUGGAACUGCCUUUAAUACUGGCAGUCUAGAGUCCGAGAGAGGUGAGUGGAAUUCCGAGUGUAGAGGUGAAAUUCGUAGAUAUUCGGAGGAACACCAGUGGCGAAGGCGGCUCACUGGCUCGGUACUGACGCUGAGGUGCGAAAGCGUGGGGAGCAAACAGGAUUAGAUACCCCCGUA
rnacentral:rRNA from 1 species